CUCUCCUCCCGGGUCUGCGCGGACGCGGCCUCCUUACCUCAUUUGUCCUCGCCCCUCCCCGUCCCUCUACGCGUUUUGGUCCCUGUUUGGUGCUUUCUGUUUGCAGCUACGGCAGUGAAUCUGGGCAUAGGAACCAAUCAGAAACAAUCGCUUCAGCAAUCAAGACCAUUGUUCAUCAUGGAGGAACCCAUGGAUACCUCUGAGCCUCUAUCUGCAUUACCAUUCACUGGGCAGCAGUCUUUUGAGCCAAGUGGCAAAUUUGGACAGUAUCCAUCGAUGCAGAUGAACCACAUCCAGGCACUGGGGAAGUGGAGGACAUAGAACAGCUCAAUCAGUGUUUGAUCCAACACUUCCAUCUCAUUAAGACAAGUUUGAUUUUUCUUUGCUUUUUAUUUCAUGGAAUACAUGAGAAUCUCUUAACUGUUGGAGUUUCCAAGGAGGCAUACCUCAUGACUUCAGUUAAUGGAAAGAACAAAACUAAAAUGCUGUAUGGCCAAAGCCACAAAGGGAAGGAUCCACAAUUUACAUUCUUGGAGCUAUCAUCUGUACUGUACUGUUGUGAUCUACUGAUUGGCAUUGGCAUAGUAGUAGGGGUCAAGUGACAGAAUCCGUGCCAGCAGUCUCCAG
rnacentral:lncRNA from 1 species